rnacentral:rRNA from 1 species
UACGUAGGGAGCAAGCGUUGUCCGGAAUCAUUGGGCGUAAAGCGCGCGUAGGUGGCCACAUAAGUCCGUUGUGAAAGUCAAAGGCUCAACCUUUGAAAGCCGAUGGAUACUGUGUGGCUAGAGUACGGAAGAGGCGAGUGGAAUUCCUGGUGUAGCGGUGGAAUGCGCAGAUAUCAGGAAGAACACCCGUGGCUAAGGCGGUUCUCUAGUACGGUACUGACGCUGAGACGCGAAAGCGUGGGGAGCGAACAGG